rnacentral:rRNA from 1 species
GAUGAACGCUAGCGGCAGGCUUAAUACAUGCAAGUCGAGGGGCAGCACGGAUAGCAAUAUCUGGUGGCGACCGGCGCACGGGUGCGUAACACGUAUGCAACCUACCUUCAACAGGAAGAUAGCCCGGGGAAACUCGGAUUAAUAUUCCAUAACACAGGGGACCCACAUGGGUAUAUUGUUAAAGCUCCGGCGGUUGAAGA